CCACCGCAGACCGGAAUGAGAGCCUGGGAAUCACGAGCUCCAGGUCCGGAGGAGGCUCUCUGUCCUACGAUUUCUGAGUCAGCACCAUGACAAACAUAUGGUUGCUUACAGUGGACCCAGGAGCAAGGAAAUCCAAGCUUGCAAAGGGGGCAUCUGGUCCCCACCAAGAUUUGUACUUCAUUUUUUGUAGUGAUGCCUUCUACUCAUUUAACUUCAUAAGACCAACAGAUUUCCUACUGAUAACACAGAACACUUCUGAACUGGUGUGUGCACACACGGCACAUCCUCAAUAUACAGGAUCAGAGUUCAAAUCCAGGGUGUGUUCCACUGUUGAUCAAUUAAACCAGUAAAUGGUGUCUCAAAUAGAACAAUCUUUGGUGAUAUAGGUGCCAAGUAAAUAUAAUUGCCUGUGAUAGUUUUCCCAAAUGUUCCCAUCUAGAUUGCCUGAUAUUCUAUGUGUCCCUCAGAAACACUUUUUGGCUUGAGAGAGGGAAAUGAUUCUGAG
rnacentral:lncRNA from 1 species